rnacentral:rRNA from 1 species
UACGAAGGGAGCUAGCGUUGUUCGGAAUCACUGGGCGUAAAGCGCACGUAGGCGGAUGUGUCAGUCAGGGGUGAAAUCCCGGAGCUCAACUUCGGAACUGCCUUUGAUACAGCACGUCUUGAGUCCGAUAGAGGUGGGUGGAAUUCCUAGUGUAGAGGUGAAAUUCGUAGAUAUUAGGAAGAACACCGGUGGCGAAGGCGGCCCACUGGAUCGGUACUGACGCUGAGGUGCGAAUGCGUGGGGAGCAAACAGG